rnacentral:tRNA from 1 species
GGAAGGUUGCCAGAGAGGCAAUGGGUCGGCUUGCUAAGCCGUAGCCGGUGCUCACGCGCCGCGUGCGUUCGAUCCGCACACCUUCCG